GAGAAGCCAGCAGAAAGCCUUCUGUGGUCUCUCCAGGACAUCACCCCCCCUGGUGGAAUGACAGGGAACUUUCCUGGCUUCAGAAAAGCAGGGCAACCUGGCAGCCGUCCCCCCUCUCCUCUGCAGUUACAGUGUGGUUAAUAAUUAUUACUCUGUGUUAAUCACGACAGUGGAAGAGUUGCAGGCCGUUAUUUCGAAAUGAUCGGCUACAGUCAAUGACUACUUAUGACAGCAAAAGCGAAACAUCAGCUCCGGGAAGCCCCCAUGUAAAUGGAGAGUUGAAUGAAAGAUCAGGAAUAAUGGAACGUGUAUUUAGUUCCAUUUUCCUCGCUAAAAGGGCCCUGUCAGAGUAAUUUCCCCUUCCAUGAGAACAUUUUCACGAAGCACAAUCACAGAAGAACAGAAUGUCCUGAUGUUUGGAAGCUGACCACAGGGAAUGUCAGGAUGCCAAAAAUCUCCUCUGGGACUUUAUAUAUGGCUUGAAUUUCACCACUACAACUUCUACCAUCAGGGAAAGCCACUAACACCUCUGGCCCUGUUUA